rnacentral:rRNA from 1 species
UACGUAGGGGGCAAGCGUUGCUCGGAAUUACUGGGCGUAAAGGGCGCGUAGGCGGCACGGCAAGUCAGGAGUGAAAGCCCUGGGCUCAACCCGGGAACUGCUUUUGAAACUGCCGAGCUAGAGUGCGGAAGGGGCAACUGGAAUUCCCAGUGUAGCGGUGAAAUGCGUAGAUAUUGGGAAGAACACCUGAGGCGAAGGCGGGUUGCUGGGCCGACACUGACGCUGAUGCGCGAAAGCCAGGGGAGCGAACGGG